CACGUAGGGCGCAAGCGUUGUCCGGAAUUAUUGGGCGUAAAGAGCUCGUAGGCGGUCUGUUGCGUCCGCUGUGAAACUCGGGGCUUAACCCCGAGCCUGCAGUGGAUACGGGCAGACUAGAGGUAGGUAGGGAGAAUGGAAUUCCCGGUGUAGCGGUGAAAUGCGCAGAUAUCGGGAGGAACACCGGUGGCGAAGGCGGUUCUCUGGGCCUUACCUGACGCUGAGGAGCGAAAGCGUGGG
rnacentral:rRNA from 1 species